rnacentral:rRNA from 1 species
UACGUAGGUGACCAGCGUUGUCCGGAUUUACUGGGCGUAAAGAGCGCGCAGGCGGUCGUUCAAGUCGAGUGUGAAAGCCCCCGGCUCAACUGGGGAGGGUCACUCGAUACUGAUCGACUGGAAGGCAGGAGAGGGAAGCGGAAUUCCCGGUGUAGUGGUGAAAUGCGUAGAUAUCGGGAGGAACACCAGUGGCGAAGGCGGCUUCCUGGACCAACACUGACGCUCAUGCACGAAGCGUGGGGAGCAAACAGG